CUGACCACUGUGAUCCCGGAA
rnacentral:miRNA from 1 species